rnacentral:rRNA from 1 species
AUCGAACGCUGGCGGCAUGCCUAACACAUGCAAGUCGAACGAGUGGCGGACGGGUGAGUAAUGUCUGGGAAACUGCCUGAUGUAGGGGGCUAACUACUGGAAACGUUAGCUAAUACCGCAUACCAUUGGUUGUGCCCUGAUGGGUUUAGCUAGUAGGUGGGGUAAAGGCUCACCUAGGCGACGAUCCAUAGCUGGUCUGAGAGGGUGACCGGCCACACUGGAACUGAGACACGGUCCAGACUCCUACGGGAGGCAGCAGUGGGGAAUAUUGGACAAUGGGCGAAAGCCUGAUGCAGCCAUGCCGCGUGUAUGAAGAAGGCCUUCGGGUUGUAAAGUACUGUCGGCGGGGAGGCGUUACCCGCAGAAGAAGCACCGGCUAACUACGUGCCAGCAGCCGCGGUAAUUC